GACGAACGCUGGCGGCGUGCCUAACACAUGCAAGUCGAACGAAGCAUAGCAAUAUUCUUAGUGGCGGACGGGUGAGUAACGCGUGAACAAUCUGCCCCGUACAAAGGGAUAGCCUCGGGAAACCGGGAUUAAAACCAUAUAACGCUUUAGUACCGCAUGGUAAUAAAGUCAAAUCGAUUAAGAGGUAUGGGAUGAGUUCGCGUCUGAUUAGCUAGUUGGUGAGGUAAGGGCUCACCAAGGCGACGAUCAGUAGCCGGCCUGAGAGGGUGAACGGCCACACUGGAACUGAGACACGGUCCAGACUCCUACGGGAGGCAGCAGUGGGGAAUAUUGCACAAUGGAGGGAACUCUGAUGCAGCGACGCCGCGUGAGUGAAGAAGGUCUUCGGAUCGUAAAACUCUGUCCUUGGUGAAGAAAGGACGGUAGCCAAGGAGGAAGCCCCGGCUAACUACGUG
rnacentral:rRNA from 1 species